CAGAGGGUGCGAGCGUUAAUCGGAAUUACUGGGCGUAAAGGGUGCGUAGGUGGUUUUGUAAGUUAGAUGUGAAAUUCCUGGGCUUAACCUGGGGACUGCGUCUGAUACUGCGAAGCUAGAGUACUGUAGAGGGAAGUGGAAUUUCCGGUGUAGCAGUGAAAUGCGUAGAUAUCGGAAGGAACAUCAGUGGCGAAGGCGACUUUCUGGACAGAUACUGACACUGAGGCACGAAAGCGUGGGGAGCAAACAGGAUUAGAUACCCUGGUAGUCCAUGCUGUAAACGAUGAAGACUGGCUGUUGGUUGCCCUUGGGCAAUUAGUAGCGAAGCUAACGCGUUAAGUCUUCCGCCUGGGGAGUACGGCCGCAAGGUUA
rnacentral:rRNA from 1 species